rnacentral:rRNA from 1 species
AACGAACGCUGGCGGCAUGCCUAACACAUGCAAGUCGAACGAGACCUUCGGGUCUAGUGGCGCACGGGUGCGUAACGCGUGGUAACCUGCCCUUAGGUUCGGAAUAACUCCCCGAAAGGUGUGCUAAUACCGGUUAAUGUCUUCGGUCCAAAGAUUUAUCGCCUUUGGAUGGGCCCGCGUUGGAUUAGCUAGUUGGUAGGGUAAAAGCCUACCAAGGCGACGAUCCAUAGCUGGUCUGAGAGGAUGAUCAGCCAGACUGGGACUGAGACACGGCCCAGACUACUACGGGAGGCAGCAGUGGGGAAUAUUGGAAAAUGGGCGAAAGCCUGAUCAAGCAAUGCCGCGUGAGAGAUGAAGGCCUUAGGGUAGUAAAGCUCUUUUACCCGGGAUGAUAAUGACAGUACCGGGAGAAUAAGCUCCGGCUAACUCCGUG